rnacentral:rRNA from 1 species
GAUGAACGCUGGCGGCGUGCCUAAUACAUGCAAGUCGAGCGAACAGACGAGGAGCUUGCUCCUCUGACGUUAGCGGCGGACGGGUGAGUAACACGUGGAUAACCUACCUAUAAGACUGGGAUAACUUCGGGAAACCGGAGCUAAUACCGGAUAAUAUAUUGAACCGCAUGGUUCAAUAGUGAAAGACGGUUUUGCUGUCACUUAUAGAUGGAUCCGCGCCGCAUUAGCUAGUUGGUAAGGUAACGGCUUACCAAGGCAACGAUGCGUAGCCGACCUGAGAGGGGGAGCGGCCACACGGGGACUGAGACACGGUCCAGACUCCAACGGGAGGCAGCAGUAGGAAAUCUUCCGAAAGGGGCGAAAGCCUGACGGAGCAACGCCGCGUGAGUGAUGAAGGUCUUCGGCUCGUAAAACUCUGUUAUUAGGGAAGAACAAAUGUGUAAGUAACUAUGCACGUUUUGACUGUACCUAAUCAGAAAGCCACGGCAAACUGCG